rnacentral:rRNA from 1 species
GUACGGAGGGUGCAAGCGUUAUCCGGAUUUACUGGGUUUAAAAGGGUGUGUAGGCGGGCUUUUAAGUCAGUGGUGAAAUCUCCGGGCUCAACCCGGAAACUGCCAUUGAUACUAUUAGUCUUGAAUUUGUUGAGGUAGGCGAAUAAGUCAUGUAGCGGUGAAAUGCUUAGAUAUGACUUAGAACACCAAUUGCGAAGGCAGCUGC